rnacentral:rRNA from 1 species
UACGUAGGGGGCUAGCGUUGUCCGGAAUCAUUGGGCGUAAAGAGCGUGUAGGCGGCCCGGUAAGUCCGCUGUGAAAGUCGGGGGCUCAACCCUCGGAUGCCGGUGGAUACUGUCGGGCUUGAGUACGGAAGAGGCGAGUGGAAUUCCUGGUGUAGCGGUGAAAUGCGCAGAUAUCAGGAGGAACACCGAUUGCGAAGGCAGCUCGCUGGGACGUUACUGACGCUGAGACGCGAAAGCGUGGGGAGCAAACAGG